rnacentral:lncRNA from 1 species
GGCGUCACUGCCACCCAUCCCAUACUAGUGCCACCAAUCCUUCCACCAUCACUCCCUACUGUCGGAAAAUGUUAAUAUUUGCUCAUCCACCACCAAAACUGUCGACACCCACCAAGCACCACCGCUACAAAAAUUGCCACUGACAGCAACCUUCAAUCACUGAGGCGUUUGGGUUUCUUUGUUUUUGUGAUUGGGUAGACUAGAGCAGCAUUGAAACCCAUGAAUCUUCUACAUAGAUGAAAAAAGGUUAAUCUGCCAAACAAUAAGCAGAAAUCUCAAGAAUAAAUCAAUGAAAAAAGGGGAAAAAAAAUAGGAGAGCAAGAAACGAGAGUCGAUUGGACCAUGCUGCCUGACAACAAUUGUGAUGAAAAUAGUCAUGCGUUGCAUCAAACAAUUGUCAUUACUAACUCAGCGCAAUGUCCCCACCAGUUUCUCUCUACCAUGAAUCUUCUACAUAGAUGAAAAAAGGUUAAUCUGCCAAACAAUAAGCAGAAAUCUCAAGAAUAAAUCAAUGAAAAAAGGGAAAAAAAAAUAGGAGAGCAAGAAACGAGAGUCGAUUGGACCAUGCUGCCUGACAACAAUUGUGAUGAAAAUAGUCAUGCGUUGCAUCAAACAAUUGUCAUUACUAACUCAGCGCAAUGUCCCCACCAGUUUCUCUCUGCAUAUCUCGUAUUUGCAACCACUUGAAUCAAUUGAAAAUGGGACGGGAUUGAAUAUUGUGAAGGUGAUUGCUCGGGUCGAUUGGGUUGUUGGGGAUUUUGGUUUUUUAACCUUGUUUCUGGUAAAGCAUUUGGUCACAAACAAGUUGUAAAUUCUUGCGAUAGGGAGUGGUGGUGGAAGGAGCGGUGGUGUCGGUGUAGGAUGGGUGGCGGUAGCUUCGACGUUGCUGUUAGUGAUUUUCGGAUAACAAUGGGGAAGAAGAGGAUGGGU